UACGAAGGGGGCUAGCGUUGCUCGGAAUCACUGGGCGUAAAGCGCACGUAGGCGGCUUCUUAAGUCGGUGGUGAAAUCCUGGAGCUCAACUCCAGAACUGCCUUCGAUACUGGGAAGCUCGAGUCCGGGAGAGGUGAGUGGAACUGCGAGUGUAGAGGCGAAAUUCGUAGAUAUUCGCAAGAACACCAGUGGCGAAGGCGGCUCACUGGCCCGGUACUGACGCUGAGGUGCGAAAGCGUGGGGAGCAAACAGG
rnacentral:rRNA from 1 species